CCGGACCGGCGCACGGGUGAGUAACACGUAUGCAACUUGGCCGCCACAGGGGGAUAACCCGCGGAAACGCGGCCUAAUACCCCGUGACGCCACCGGAGGGCAUCCUCCGGUGGCCAAAGGAGCGAUCCGGUGGCGGAUGGGCAUGCGGCGCAUUAGCUAGACGGCGGGGUGACGGCCCACUGUGGCGACGAUGCGUAGGGGUUCUGAGAGGAAGGCCCCCCACACUGGGACUGAGACACGGCCCAGACUCCUACGGAAGGCAGCAG
rnacentral:rRNA from 1 species